GCCUCUAUGGUCUAGUGGUACGAUACCUGCUUUGGGAGCUUGUGAAAGCAUCAAUUGCAGGUGGCCCGGGCGGGUUCGAAUCCCCGUGGAGGCC